rnacentral:rRNA from 1 species
UUGAACGCUGGCGGCAGGCCUAACACAUGCAAGUCGAACGGUAACAGGAAACAGCUUGCUGUUUCGCUGACGAGUGGCGGACGGGUGAGUAAUGUCUGGGAAACUGCCUGAUGGAGGGGGAUAACUACUGGAAACGGUAGCUAAUACCGCAUAACGUCGCAAGACCAAAGAGGGGGACCCUCGGGCCUCUUGCCAUCGGAUGUGCCCAGAUGGGAUUAGCUUGUUGGUGGGGUAACGGCUCACCAAGGCGACGAUCCCUAGCUGGUCUGAGAGGAUGACCAGCCACACUGGAACUGAGACACGGUCCAGACUCCUACGGGAGGCAGCAGUGGGGAAUAUUGCACAAUGGGCGCAAGCCUGAUGCAGCCAUGCCGCGUGUAUGAAGAAGGCCUUCGGGUUGUAAAGUACUUUCAGCGGGGAGGAAGGGAGUAAAGUUAAUACCUUUGCUCAUUGACGUUACCCGCAGAAGAAGCACCGGCUAACUCCGUGCCAGCAGCCGCGGUAAUACGGAGGGUGCAAGCGUUAAUCGGAAUUACUGGGCGUAAAGCGCACGCAGGCGGUUUGUUAAGUCAGAUGUGAAAUCCCCGGGCUCAACCUGGGAACUGCAUCUGAUACUGGCAAGCUUGAGUCUCGUAGAGGGGGUAGAAUUCCAGGUGUAGCGGUGAAAUGCGUAGAGAUCUGGAGGAAUACCGGUGGCGAAGGCGGCCCCCUGGACGAAGACUGACGCUCAGGUGCGAAAGCGUGGGGAGCAAACAGGAUUAGAUACCCUGGUAGUCCACGCCGUAAACGAUGUCGACUUGGAGGUUGUGCCCUUGAGGCGUGGCUUCCGGAGCUAACGCGUUAAGUCGACCGCCUGGGGAGUACGGCCGCAAGGUUAAAACUCAAAUGAAUUGACGGGGGCCCGCACAAGCGGUGGAGCAUGUGGUUUAAUUCGAUGCAACGCGAAGAACCUUACCUGGUCUUGACAUCCACGGAAGUUUUCAGAGAUGAGAAUGUGCCUUCGGGAACCGUGAGACAGGUGCUGCAUGGCUGUCGUCAGCUCGUGUUGUGAAAUGUUGGGUUAAGUCCCGCAACGAGCGCAACCCUUAUCCUUUGUUGCCAGCGGUCCGGCCGGGAACUCAAAGGAGACUGCCAGUGAUAAACUGGAGGAAGGUGGGGAUGACGUCAAGUCAUCAUGGCCCUUACGACCAGGGCUACACACGUGCUACAAUGGCGCAUACAAAGAGAAGCGACCUCGCGAGAGCAAGCGGACCUCAUAAAGUGCGUCGUAGUCCGGAUUGGAGUCUGCAACUCGACUCCAUGAAGUCGGAAUCGCUAGUAAUCGUGGAUCAGAAUGCCACGGUGAAUACGUUCCCGGGCCUUGUACACACCGCCCGUCACACCAUGGGAGUGGGUUGCAAAAGAAGUAGGUAGCUUAACCUUCGGGAGGGCGCUUACCACUUUGUGAUUCAUGACUGGGGUG